UCACCAUGUUGGCCAGGCUGGUCUGGAACUCCUGCCUUCAGGUGAUCCGCCUGCCUAGGCCUCCCAAAGUGCUGGGAUUAUAGGCAUGAGCCACUGCGCCAGGCAGAUUUUGAUUUUUAAAAGAUUGCUCUGUGUACACUGGGCUGUCACAGGAGAGGCAAGGCUGGCACAGGGAGGUCAGUCAGAUGAGAGCAAGUGAAGCCUCCAACCAGGGUCCUUGCCAGGGGUGGAGAUGUUGGCUGUGAAACAGAUUUUGUCUAUAGAUCCGACAGGACUGGAAGGGGCCUCUGAGGACAUGAGUGUUAGACAUAGUGUGUCUUUGAGGACUGGAAACUAGUAUUUAUUUGAGGACUUUCUUUUUCUUCUGUUGUGAAGAGGACCUCAACGAAAAGACGACAGAAAAUAAUGAGCAACGAGAAGAGAUCAUUCGCCUCAAACAAGAGAAAAGUUGCCUGCAUGAUGAAUUGCUUUUUACUGAUUUAUGUAAAACAACAGAGUGAUCUGCAGUUUCUUAAUUUCAAUGUGGAAAAUUCUCAAGAAUUAAUACAGAUGUAUGACUCAAAGAUGGAGGACUCAAAGGCCCUGGACUCCAGGUAAUCUCAGCAAGAUGCAAUUAAUAUGAUCUUGUAUUAUAUUCCAUCAGUCAGUAUUGACUGUG
rnacentral:lncRNA from 1 species